rnacentral:tRNA from 1 species
AGUUUUAAUAAUUUAAAAAAAAUAUAGGUCUUGUAAACCUAAAAUAAGAUAUCCUUUUAAAAC